UGCGCCUUGCCAGCCCGCUCAGCAACUCAAAUGAAUUGACGGGGCCCGCACAAGCGGUGGAGCAUGUGGUUUAAUUCGAUGAUACGCGAGGAACCUUACCUGGGCUCAAAUGUAUGUUGACGUAUUCUGAAAGGGAUACUUCUUCGGACAAUAUACAAGGUGCUGCAUGGUUGUCGUCAGCUCGUGCCGUGAGGUGUCGGGUUAAGUCCCAUAACGAGCGCAACCCCUAUCAUUAGUUGCCAUCAGGUCAAGCUGGGGACUCUAAUGAAACUGCCUACGCAAGUAGUGAGGAAGGUGGGGAUGACGUCAAAUCAGCACGGCCCUUACGUCCAGGGCUACACACGUGCUACAAUGGCCGGUACAAAGGGCAGCCACCCCGCGAGGGGGCGCGAAUCCCGAAAGCCGGUCCCAGUUCGGAUCGGAGUCUGCAACCCGACUCCGUGAAGCUGGAUUCGCUAGUAAUCGCGCAUCAGCCACGGCGCGGUGAAUACGUUCCCGGGCCUU
rnacentral:rRNA from 1 species